UAACGAAUCUUCCGCAAUGCACGAAAGUGUGACGGAGCGACGCCGCGUGCUGGAUGAAGUCCUUCGGGAUGUAAACAGCUGUCAGGGGAAAGAAAGUUCUGAUCUACCCCAGAGGAAGAGGCGGCUAACUCUGUGCCAGCAGCCGCGGUAAUACAGAGGCCUCAAGCGUUAGGCGGAAUCACUGGGCUUAAAGCGUGUGUAGGUGGAUGCCUAAGUGUUUUGUGAAAUCCCACGGCUUAACCAUGGAAUUGCUUGACAUACUGGGCGUCUUGAGCCACUCAGGGGCUACCGGAACAAACGGUGGAGCGGUGAAAUGCGUAGAUAUCGUUUGGAACGCCAAUGGUGAAAACAGGUAGCUGGGGGUGUGCUGACACUGAGACACGAAAGCCAGGGGAGCGAACGGGAUUAGAUACCCCUGUAGUCC
rnacentral:rRNA from 1 species